rnacentral:rRNA from 1 species
UGGGGAAUAUUGGACAAUGGGCGCAAGCCUGAUCCAGCAACGCCGCGUGGAGGAUGAAGGUCUUCGGAUCGUAAACUCCUGUCAGACGGGACGAAGGUUCGACGGCGAACAGUCGACGAGCUUGACGGUACCGUCAGAGGAAGCCCCGGCUAACUCCGUGCCAGCAGCCGCGGUAAUACGGAGGGGGCGAGCGUUAUUCGGAAUUAUUGGGCGUAAAGGGCGCGUAGGCGGCGCGAUAAGUCAAAGGUGAAAUCCCUCGGCUCAACUGAGGAACUGCCUUUGAAACUGUCGAGCUUGAGGCCGGGAGGGGGUAGCGGAAUUCCCAGUGUAGCGGUGAAAUGCGUAGAUAUUGGGAGGAACACCAGUGGCGAAGGCGGCUACCUGGACCGGUUCUGACGCUGAUGCGCGAAAGCGUGGGUAGCAAACAGGAUUAGAUACCCCCGUAGUCC